AUUGAACGCUGGCGGCAUGCCUUACACAUGCAAGUCGAACGGUAACAGGUCUUCGGAUGCUGACGAGUGGCGAACGGGUGAGUAAUACAUCGGAACGUGCCUAGUAGUGGGGGAUAACUACUCGAAAGAGUGGCUAAUACCGCAUGAGAUCUACAGAUGAAAGCAGGGGAUCGCAAGACCUUGUGCUACUAGAGCGGCCGAUGGCAGAUUAGGUAGUUGGUGGGAUAAAAGCUUACCAAGCCGACGAUCUGUAGCUGGUCUGAGAGGACGAUCAGCCACACUGGGACUGGGACACGGCCCAGACUCCUACGGGAGGCAGCAGUGGGGAAUUUUGGACAAUGGGCGCAAGCCUGAUCCAGCAAUGCCGCGUGCAGGAUGAAGGCCUUCGGGUUGUAAACUGCUUUUGUACGGAACGAAAAGCCCUGGGUUAAUACCCUGGGGUCAUGACGGUACCGUAAGAAUAAGCACCGGCUAACUACGUGCCAGCCGCCGCCGUAAAAC
rnacentral:rRNA from 1 species